rnacentral:lncRNA from 1 species
CUCAAGUAAGUUUCCACAGGGAGAAAUGGCUUUAAGGGAAAUAAAUAAGCUGUUUACGCUGAACACUAGUUUUUCAGUUUUUCCCCUUGACCAGUUUGAGUGGCUCUUCACCAAGGCGCAUCCAUCAGUGCAGACGAAAGGCGCUGAGGCAGACUGGACGCCCAUACAAUGCACAGACAGGGAGUGUAGCCACUCCUUGAUGAAGGCUCCGCAUCUGCACUGUCCAUUCUGCUCCCAGGACAGUCUCUUCACUGAUGAGAUUCUCCUCAAGGCGCACUACGUACAGGGUCAAGUACGUGGAUAAAGGCAUCAACUUUGGGGGAUGUCAACCAGAUCUUCACCACAUACACUGACCCAGCACCCAACAGUACCAGCCUGGUAACACACCUCAUAGUCCCCCAGUCACAGCAGCCAUCGGAGACGGACACAUCAUCCCUGGGGCUAUAAGCAGACUGAUGGGCAGCAGCCGCAGAUCGAGUACCAGUAUGCCUGCAUCAAUGAUCCAAGCCAGAGCACUGCCAAUGGGGAAGUUGUCCUUAUUGAAAUACCAGAUGAAGGAAGCAAAGAGGAUUUGGAGGAUGAGACUUGCUACAC